ensembl:lncRNA
GGCCAACCCAAGUCCAGAACCGGGCCUCCUAACUCAUAAUCAUAAAGGCAAAAUCUUCCUGAUGCACAGCACUCGUCUUGUGAUGAGACCUGAGUCUCAUUCGUCUGGGCAAGAAACAGGGACCACCAGUACUGUGCUGAUAAAUCAGCUCUCUCUCAAAAAAAAGCUCCUGGUUUGUAGUGUUGGCCAUGUAAAUGUACUAUGGACAUGUCAGCAACAGGGUGUUGACCGGCUCUCAGAAUUCCUGAAAGUUCCCCCAGUCAGCUCUGGUGAGCUGGGACAGGCCAGCUCCAGCCAGCGCACCACUCCUUCUACCUGUUGUGACCUGGAGCAAAUACAUGAAGAUGGAACUUUCUGGAGGCCAGAAGCUGGAGGCCAGGAGCAGACUGAGAUUGGCUGGCCCCAGGUCAAAGUGUGGAGUCUUAACCGCUGGACCGCCGGGGAAACUCCUGACUGAUACCAGUGUCUGGGAAGGAGAUGCUGGGACUUGGGUCAUCCCAUUGAGCAUGUCCCUGUAUUCUGAAAACUGGAAUCCCACAAUGAAGACUCAUAUUGGCAAGUGGUCUUUUACCAGCACUCGCUCAGCCUGAAUACUGCACACCUGAGGAUGAACCUCACUUCUCCUGAGCAGGGCCUCAGUUUCCCCAAAGGUAAAAAUCAGAUCUUGGCUGAGACUCCUCCCUGCAGGGCUGUCUUCGAUGCUGCCGCCGAGGUGCCCUUCCC